GUGUCAGCCGCCGUGGUAAUACGUAGGGCGCGAGCAUUGUCCGGAAUUAUUGGGCGUAAAGAGCUCGUAGGCGGCUUGUAGCGUCUGCUGUGAAAUCCCGGGGCUUAACCCCGGGCGUGCAGUGGAUACGGGCAGGCUGGAGGCAGGCAGGGGAGAACGGAAUUCCCGGUGUAGCGGUGAAAUGCGCAGAUAUCGGGAGGAACACCGGUGGCGAAGGCUGUUCUCUGGGCCUGUUCUGACGCUGAGGAGCGAAAGCGUGGGGAGCGAACAGGAUUAGAUACCCGCGUAGUCC
rnacentral:rRNA from 1 species